rnacentral:rRNA from 1 species
UACGAGGGGGGCGAGCGUUGUUCGGAAUUAUUGGGCGUAAAGGGUGCGUAGGCGGUUUGGUAAGUCUCGUGUGAAAUCUCCGGGCUCAACUCGGAGCCUGCACGAGAAACUGCCGGGCUUGAGUGUGGGAGAGGUGAGUGGAAUUCCUGGUGUAGCGGUGAAAUGCGUAGAUAUCAGGAGGAACACCAGUGGCGAAGGCGAGUCUCUGGACAUUUCCUGACGCUGAGGCACGAAAGCCAGGGGAGCAAACAGG